rnacentral:tRNA from 1 species
CGGGGCGUAGCGCAGUGGCUAGCGCGCUUGGUUCGGGACCAAGAGGUCGCAGGUUCAACCCCUGUCGCCCCGACCA